rnacentral:rRNA from 1 species
GUGUCAGCAGCCGCGGUAAAACGUAGGUCCCGAGCGUUGUUCGGAUUCACUGGGUGUAAAGGGCGCGUAGGUGGUUGUCUGUCUCAUGUGAAAACUCAGGGCUCAACUCUGAGAUUGCGUGGGAAACUCGGCAGCUAGAGGACGGUAGAGGGGAGCGGAAUUCCCGGUGUAGCGGUAAAAUGCGUAGAUACCGGGGGGAACACCGGUGGCGAAGGCGGCUCUCUGGGCCGAUCCUGACGCUGAGGCGCGAAAGCUAGGGUAGCGAACCGGAUUAGAUACCCGGGUAGUCCUAGCCGUAAACGAUGGGUGCUAGGUGUUGGGGGGUAAAGACCCUUCAGUGCCGAAGCUAACGCGAUAAGAAUCCCACCUGGGGAGUACGGCCGCAAGGUUGAAACUCAAAGGAAUUGGCGG